UUGAUGUUGUUCUAAUUAAGGAUGCCAU
rnacentral:piRNA from 1 species